rnacentral:rRNA from 1 species
UACGGGAGGCAGCAGUAGGGAAUCUUCGGCAAUGGACGAAAGUCUGACCGAGCAACGCCGCGUGAGUGAAGAAGGUUUUCGGAUCGUAAAACUCUGUUGGUAGAGAAGAACGUUGGUGAGAGUGGAAAGCUCAUCAAGUGACGGUAACUACCCAGAACGACGUUCCCCC